UAAUCCAGUUCAGUCCAAUCUAGUCCAAUCCAAUCCAGCGAUCCUCCUCGUGUCCGCGUCUUAGCUCCUCCCGUACUCCAACAGCCGUCUGCCCGUCUCGGCCGUCUCUCCAGCACCGUCCGAAACUGUGAAAUAACAAGAGACCAGGACCAGUAGUGUGUUCUCCACUACUUUGCUAUCACAACUCCAGAUAAAAGCUAUCCUGGUCUGUUUUCAGUGUGUCCGCCACGUAAAUGUACCAAAAGGGUACUUACGUUUUUUUGAGUGAAUCUGCGUUGGCGGACACGGUCUGCUGCAUGUAGUCUCACAGGACUCUCAGGUCGCUGGGCUGGUAGGUAGUAGCAGGAGGGCUUUUCUGCUGCACUGCUGUCUCUGGACUGUCUCUGACUGAAGAUCUUCUCUUCUGCUGCGAGCCGUUCUCUCCUUUUGUGUCCUCUCCACCUGUGCUGCAUCCUGCUAAUUGCAGGCUCUCCGCCACACCUGCCGCUCCUCUCCUAAUCAGUCUUUGAUUGGGGGUGUGGCUGUCCAUGGGUCUCAUUCCAGUUCAUGACUU